AUUAGCUUCCGUUAUUGGUUCAUGAUGUGAUUUUAGUUUAGCAAUGUUUGUAUACUAUACAUUACGGCAGUAUAUUUUAGGUUCCAGUGGUGAUAUAUACAUCAUAAUGUGAACCAUAGGCAUUUGAAAGAGCAAGGAAACCUCGCUAAUGAGGCCGAGAAGUUAAUGCCAUCAUCACAUCAGGAGCUGCUGUAGAGAACAAGUACGGAGGGCUCAUGUCAAGAAACCACCUCUCAUUUUCACGGCAGGAUUAUGAGCAACUAUACUUUGACUCAGCUGGUUCUGCUCUUGAAAGUAAGCAAACCAGAUGGUGAUCAACGGGAAGGAAAUUGACUUUGAGGAGUUAAAGAGCUUGGCGUUUUCUCUCGGAAAUGCUAUUGUUUGCUGCUGCACGCUAUGCUUUGUAAAAGAGAACAUAUGUCAUCAAAUAUAGUUUUCUAUGUUAUAACUAAGUUUGUCAAUUCGUUUGUCAAUUUGUUUUGUAUUUCUAUACAUCGUUGUUAUAUGAGACUGAAGAUGGGUUGUUUCUUAACUUUUUA